rnacentral:rRNA from 1 species
GGAUGAACGCUGGCGGCGUGCCUAAUCCAUGCAAGUCGAGCGAACAGACGAGGAGCUUGCUCCUCUGACGUUAGCGGCGGACGGGUGAGUAACACGUGGAUAACCUACCUAUAAGACUGGGAUAACUUCGGGAAACCGGAGCUAAUACCGGAUAAUAUAUUGAACCGCAUGGUUCAAUAGUGAAAGACGGUUUUGCUGUCACUUAUAGAUGGAUCCGCGCCGCAUUAGCUAGUUGGUAAGGUAACGGCUUACCAAGGCAACGAUGCGUAGCCGACCUGAGAGGGUGAUCGGCCACACUGGAACUGAAACACGGUCCAGACUCCUACGAGAGGCAGCAGUAGGGAAUCUUCCGCAAUGGGCGAAAGCUUGACGGAGCAACGCCGCGUGAGUGAUGAAGGUCUUCGGAUCGUAAAACUCUGUUAUUAGGGAAGAACAAAUGUGUAAGUAACUAUGCACGUCUUGACGGUACCUAAUCAGAAAGCCACGGCUAACUACGUG